GAACCCACCCAUUGUAAAGCUUUUGUGUGAAAUUCUUGUUAAGGAAGGGAGAAAAAUCGGCAGAAAACGGGAAAAUUCUUAGGUAUCCCUGAAACCCCCGGGCGGGAGAGGCCUCUUCUCUCUCCAUUUUUUCGAUCUGGGGCCGGGAACGGGGGGGGGAAAAUGAGGGUUUAUUAUCCCUAAUUAUCCCCCGCCGUAACCGAUGGGUCCGUCGACCAUACACAAUAUUCCGUGUGUGUCUGAGAAAAACACCAUAGCAUUCCCAGGGGGGGGAGGUCCCUUCGCGAGAUUAAAACUCAAAGAGAAUGGACGGGGGUUCCCGCACAAAGGGGGGGAGCAUGUGUUUUAAUUCGAUGAUGCGCGAGGAACCUUACCUGCGCUAGAAUUCUGCGAGACUGUGGAUGAAAGCUCACUUUGUAGGAAUGCACUGCCAGUAAGGUGAUGCAUGGCUGUCGUCAUCUCGUGCCGUGAGGUGUUGGGUUAAGUCCCGCAACGAGCGCAACCCCUAUCUUUAGUUGCCCACAGGUAAUGCUGGGCACUCUAAAGAAACUGCCGUUGUAAGACGCGAGGAAGGAGGGGAUGAUGUCAAGUCAUCGUGGCCUUUAUGCCCAGGGCUACACACGUGCUACAAUGGGGAGGACAAAGGGCUGCAACACAGUGAUGUGAAACUAAUCCCAAAAACCUCUUCUCAGUUCAGGCCGUAGUCUGCAACUCGACUACGUGAAGCUGGAAUCGCUAGUAAUCGUUUAUCAGCAAUGAUACGGUGAAUACGUACCCGGCCCUUGCUCUGCCCGCCCGUC
rnacentral:rRNA from 1 species